UGGACGACGUUGUUUGUUAGUAGCGUUUCUAGUUUCUCAACCUAGCAGGCAAAGCAUGGAUAAAUAAAUUUAUUUCAGAACAAAACGACACUUAUGUGUUUAAAAACCCGUAUAUGCUGUAAGUUAUAUGUCUCACAGUAAAUUUAAAACAAAAGUUUAAGAUAAUGCAGACGCAACGGCUUUAAGAAUGAAGUCAUCAAGAAGUGAAAAACGGAAAAUAAGAUCAAUUGAUAUGUUUAUUUUUAGUAAACAUUCAAAAAAUACAAUUAUCGCGGCAUAGGGGUCGUCUAUAUUUAUAUUUGAAUCCAAAGUGUCCAAAUAUUUUCCAAACGUUUGCUUUGUUAGUGCGUUCCUGCAUUGACUACAUUAAUAUUUGGCUUGCGUGCCAGCGACGGAGACACUACAGUCACCACGAUUAGUGCUGUAAAAGCAGUUAUACAGUAUUUCAUGCCAUUUCCUAGUACUGUGGUACUGCAAAAGACAUAAAUCGGUCAAAAGUUUUAUUUCUUGGCUCAUUUAGUUGCAGGAGGCGCUGGCGUUUAAGUGCCUGCAGGCCUCUUUGAUACACUCCUCCGGUUUGAGGUUUCCUGACACGACUCUGACAGGGCUCUGCUUGCCUUGGAUGGCAGAAAGGACAUGAGUUGUUAAGGAUCUUGAGGUUUCCGAGUGUUUGCCAAAGUCAGUUCUGGCCUGAGCAGCAGCUGUAUGAAGUUUCUUAAACUGGCACGUUAUACCAGUCCACCUUAGCAUGGCAGUCAGCAUCACACACAAGUUUACCUUGAAAACUGGACCCCUUCUUCUGUAACAGUACCCAGAUCAAUACUGGUCCAGUAUGCAUGAUGUGGAACCAUAUGCACCAUCGUAAGAGCUCAUCAUUCUAAAAAGCGAGGUGUGUCCUGAUUGGCCAGCUAUCCAGCGUGCGAUGGAAAUGUUACACACCUUACUAUACUGUGAUGUCAUGUUCCGGAGCGCUGAGACAAAGACAUUUAGACCCAUUAUAAACAAGGUAUUUGUUGCAUCCAGUGGGGGACAUAAAUACGGAUUAUAAUGAGAAUACCGGCGGUUCUCAAUUCUAGUCCUCGCGGCCCCCAGCUCUGGCAAUUGUGCAUGUCUCUCUGUUAACAAACCUGAUUCAGAUAAUUAGCUCUUUAGAAGUGAGCUCCGUGUCUGAAUUGUGUUCCAAUUGACAUGGUCCCUACACAGUUUUCAUUGCUCCCUGAGCAGGUGAUAUCUGUUGAAGUUUACCUCACUUCGUAUCAUUCAUUCACGAAUUAGCGCAGCACAAUGUCAUCACACAGGGACAAGUGUGAUAUCAUAUACCUCUAUAAAUAAAUACAAUUUAAAUUCAACGUAGUCUACUCUCCCAGGAUCAGGAAACCUCCAUAAAAUGAACUGCACACAUCUGAA